rnacentral:misc_RNA from 1 species
CAAGGUACAUAGCCUACCCGGCUAUAACCUCCAACCAUUGUGUACCAAACUUUUGUUGCCUCGGCGGGCUGCCAGCCUACCCGGCUGGCCCCCCUGCGGGAGCCGCCCGCCGAAGGACCUUUCAAACCAGUUCGUUGAUGAACGUCUGAUUUAUUUUCUAAAAAGAAAUA